CUCUCUGUGAAUCCAGUGGUGAGGGCUUUCAGGAGGAUGGCUGUGUUGAGAUCUCUCCAUCUUGUGGUUUUGUGGGCAGCAGUGUCCUUUUCUAUGGCCUUUAACAUAGACGUUGCAGAACCUAAGAUUUACAAUGGAUCAGGACCCCGUGAAGACUUCUUUGGAUACAAGGCAUUGCACUUUCAGUCUGGGACAGAAAAAGGGUUUGUUGUCAGUGCACCACUUCAAAGAAAUGGAACCGGAGG